rnacentral:rRNA from 1 species
GUGGGGAAUUUUGGACAAUGGGGGAAACCCUGAUCCAGCGACGCCGCGUGAAGGAUGAAGGCCUUCGGGUUGUAAACUUCUUUUGGAGGGGACGAAUAAAUUGACGGUACCCUCGGAAAAAGCCACGGCUAACUACGUGCCAGCAGCCGCGGUAAUACGUAGGUGGCGAGCGUUACUCGGAAUUACUAGGCGUAAAGCGUAUGUAGGCGGUUGUAUAAGUCUAUGGUGAAAUUUCCUGGCUCAACUGGGAAGGGACUUAGAUACUGUAUGGCUUGAGUGUUGGAGGGGGAGACGGAAUUCCUGGUGUAGCGGUGAAAUGCGUAGAUAUCAGGAGGAACACCGAUGGCGAAAGCAGUCUCCUGGCCAAAUACUGACGCUGAGGUACGAAAGCUAGGGUAGCAAACAGGAUUAGAUACCCCAGUAGUCC